rnacentral:rRNA from 1 species
CAGCAGCCGCGGUAAUUCGAAGGGGGCUAGCGUUGCUCGGAAUCACUGGGCGUAAAGCGCACGUAGGCGGAUUGCUAAGUCAGGGGUGAAAUCCUGGAGCUUAACUCCAGAACUGCCUUUGAUACUGGCGACCUUGAGUCCGGGAGAGGUGAGUGGAACUGCGAGUGUAGAGGUGAAAUUCGUAGAUAUUCGCAAGAACACCAGUGGCGAAGGCGGCUCACUGGCCCGGUACUGACGCUGAGGUGCGAAAGCGUGGGGAGCAAACAGGAUUAGAUGCCCUGGUAGUCCACGCCGUAAACGAUGGAUGCUAGCCGUUGGUGGGUUUACCCUUCAGUGGCGCAGCUAACGCAUUAAGCAUCCCGCCUGGGGAGUACGGUCGCAAGAUUAAAACUCAAAUGAAUUG